rnacentral:lncRNA from 1 species
UGAGACCCUAGACAUAGAAUUGUGUAAUGCUCUUUUCUGUCUGUUUCUAGAUUUGGGCCACCAUAAAUCCAGCUUGCUUAUUGUUAUGUGACAGCCCAGAUCUUAUCUCUAUCUGCAGCCCCCCCCUCCAAAACUGCUCAGGUGGCUAAGUAACAACCCAGAUCUGCCACAUGCUCACCUUUACUACCAAAACAGCUUUCCUGGUGUUGUUUAUGGUCUUCUAAAUGCUACACAGUUUAAAAGUACUGCAGAGGGCAAGAGCCUUUAGCACUUCUUA